rnacentral:tRNA from 1 species
AUUCAUUUAAUAUAAAAAGUAUAUAAAGUUUCCAACUUUAAAGUCAAUUAAAAAGAAUGAAUA